rnacentral:rRNA from 1 species
GACGAACGCUGGCGGCGUGCUUAACACAUGCAAGUCGAACGGAAAGGCCCUGCUUGCAGGGUACUCGAGUGGCGAACGGGUGAGUAACACGUGGGUGAUCUGCCCUGCACUUCGGGAUAAGCCUGGGAAACUGGGUCUAAUACCGGAUAGGAGCCAUUUUUAGUGUGAUGGUUGGAAAGUUUUUUCGGUGUAGGAUGAGCUCGCGGCCUAUCAGCUUGUUGGUGGGGUAAUGGCCUACCAAGGCGGCGACGGGUAGCCGGCCUGAGAGGGUGGACGGCCAAAUUGGGAAUUGGGUACGGCCCAGACUCCUACGGGAGGCAGCAGUGGGGAAUAUUGCACAAUGGGCGGAAGCCUGAUGCAGCGACGCCGCGUUGGGGAUGACGGCCUUCGGGUUGUAAACUCCUUUCGCUAGGGACGAAGCUUUUUGUGACGGUACCUAGAUAAGAAGCACCGGCUAACUACGUG